rnacentral:lncRNA from 1 species
CAAACUCAAACUACAGGCAGUCAACAAGUAACAUCAAUCCCUUCAAAGCCACUUGAUAUUCCAACAAUCUCAGAUCAAAGCCCCCGGGAGCAGAAGAAUUCCUAUAAUGACAAGUUGCUUAGGGAAUCAACAGACAAUCUAGGGGACUUGGACGACCCAAACAGCUCGCCUUCACCCAUGGAAGUGCAACACACUAUACAUGCCCAAUAUACUCAUGAGGGAGAAGGGAAACAAGUUAAACAAAUAAUCUUGACGGAACCGGACAUCAAAU